UACGUAGGGUGCAAGCGUUAAUCGGAAUUACUGGGCGUAAAGCGUGCGCAGGCGGUUUUGUAAGUUUGUCGUGAAAUCCCCGGGCUCACCUGGGAAUGGCGAUGAAGACUGCAAGGCUAGAAUCUGGCAGAGGGGGGUAGAAUUCCACGUGUAGCAGUGAAAUGCGUAGAGAUGUGGAGGAACACCGAUGGCGAAGGGCAGCCCCCUGGGUCAAGAUUGACGCUCAUGCACGAAAGCGUGGGGAGCAAACAGG
rnacentral:rRNA from 1 species